AGUGAACGCUGGCGGUAGGCCUAACACAUGCAAGUCGAACGGCAGCACAGUAAGAGCUUGCUCUUACGGGUGGCGAGUGGCGGACGGGUGAGGAAUACAUCGGAAUCUACUUUUUCGUGGGGGAUAACGUAGGGAAACUUACGCUAAUACCGCAUACGACCUACGGGUGAAAGCAGGGGAUCUUCGGACCUUGCGCGAUUGAAUGAGCCGAUGUCGGAUUAGCUAGUUGGCGGGGUAAAGGCCCACCAAGGCGACGAUCCGUAGCUGGUCUGAGAGGAUGAUCAGCCACACUGGAACUGAGACACGGUCCAGACUCCGACGGGAGGCAGCAGUGGGGAAUAUUGGACAAUGGGCGCAAGACUGAUCCAGCCAUACCGCGUGGGUGAAGAAGGCCUUCGGGUUGUAAAGCCCUUUUGUUGGGAAAGAAAAGCAGCAGGUUAAUACCCCGCUGUUCUGACUGUACCCAAAGAAUAAGCACCGGCUAACUUCGUG
rnacentral:rRNA from 1 species